rnacentral:rRNA from 1 species
GACGAACGCUGGCGGCGUGCUUAACACAUGCAAGUCGAACGAAGAGCGAUGGAAGCUUGCUUCUAUCAAUCUUAGUGGCGAACGGGUGAGUAACGCGUAAUCAACCUACCCUUCAGAGGGGGACAACAGUUGGAAACGACUGCUAAUACCGCAUACAAUCCAAUCUCGGCAUCGAGACUGGAUGAAAGGUGGCCUCUAUUUAUAAGCUAUCACUGAAGGAGGGGAUUGCGUCUGAUUAGCUAGUUGGAGGGGUAACGGCCCACCAAGGCGAUGAUCAGUAGCCGGUCUGAGAGGAUGAACGGCCACAUUGGGACUGAGACACGGCCCAGACUCCUACGGGAGGCAGCAGUGGGGAAUCUUCCGCAAUGGACGAAAGUCUGACGGAGCAACGCCGCGUGAGUGAUGACGGCCUUCGGGUUGUAAAGCUCUGUUAAUCGGGACGAAUGGUUCUUGUGCAAAUAGUGCGAGGAUUUGACGUACCGGAAUAGAAAGCACGCA